rnacentral:rRNA from 1 species
CCCUUAGAUGUUCUGGGCUGCACGCGCGCUACACUGAAGCUAUCAACACGUUUUCCCUCCCUGAGAAGGGCCGGUAACCUUUUGAAUCAGCUUCGUGGUAGGGAUCGGGGCUUGCAAUUGUUCCCCGUGAACCAGGAAUUCCUAGUAGACGCGAGUCAUAAGCUCGCAUCGAUUAAGUCCCUGCCCUUUGUACACACCGCCCGUCGCUACUACCGAUUGAACGUUUUAGUGAGGCAUUUGGACCGACGCAUCUCAGUUUAACCGCUGGUUUGUGUUGGAAAGACUUCCAAACUUGAGCGUUUAGAGGAAGUAAAAGUCGUAACA